rnacentral:rRNA from 1 species
UCAGCUUGAAAAUUGGGGCCUUCGGCCUUGAAUUGUAAUUUUGAAAUGUAUUGCCAAUGGAGGCGCAGGUGCAAGCCUAUUGAAAGAAAGCGUCAAUGAGGGUGAGAUUCCUUUUUGUCAUUUGCAGUCCUCCGUGCACGGUAUAUAUUUGACGAGUCACACUCCUUGGCAUUGGAAUGCAAAGUGGGUGGUAAAUUCCAUGUAAAGGAAAAUAUAUUAUUGAGACUGAUAGCAAACAAGUACCAUGAGGGAAAUAUGAAAAGGACUUUGAAAAGAGAAUUAAAAGAGUCUGCAUUUGCUGAACAGAAAGCAAACAGAAUUGAUCUACUUGGUGAGAUUGUUGCGUCCACUUGUGGGUGCAAUGGUUCUUGCCUUGAAUGUCAGCGUCUAUUUCUGCAAAUUAUUACCCUUGCAUAUGAAUUGUAAUUUGCCUGUGGGCAUUGGAAUGCAUGUGUUUGCAAUGAUUUGUGAUUUGAUACAUGUGUCUGGUGUUCGCGUGUGUGCCUUCUUGCUAACACGGGGAGGGCUCUCCUCCCUGGGCACUGCAUGCCCUUGCACAUUGUUGCUGGCAAAAUGUUUCUGCUUGACCCGUCUUGAAACACGGACCAAGGAGUCUAACAGAUGUGCAAGUUCGUGGGUGGGCAAACCUUUUUGCGUAAUGAAAGUGUUGGCUGGGAUACUUGCACCAGCAGCCGACCGAUUAGCAGACAGAGGUUUGAGUUUGAGCAUAUCUAUUAGGACCCGAAAGAUGGUGAACUAUGCC